rnacentral:rRNA from 1 species
UGGACGCAUCACUGGUGUUCGGGUUGUCAUGCCAAUGGCACUGCCCGGUAGCUAAAUGCGGAAGAGAUAAGUGCUGAAAGCAUCUAAGCACGAAACUUGCCCCGAGAUGAGUUCUCCCUGACUCCUUGAGAGUCCUGAAGGAACGUUGAAGACGACGACGUUGAUAGGCCGGGUGUGUAAGCGCAGCGAUGCGUUGAGCUAACCGGUACUAAUGAACCGUGAGGCUUAACCUUACAACGCCGAAGCUGUU